GGGUUAAGUCCCGCAACGAGCGCAACCCCUAUUGUUAGUUGCCAUCAUUCAGUUGGGCACUCUAGCGAGACUGCCGGUAAUAAACCGGAGAAGUGGGGAUGACGUCAAAUCAUCAUGCCCCUUAUGACCUGGGCUACACACGUGCUACAAUGGUUGGUACAACGAGUUGCGAGUCGGUGACGGCGAGCUAAUCUCUUAAAGCCAAUCUCAGUUCGGAUUGUAGGCUGCAACUCGCCUACAUGAAGUCGGAAUCGCUAGUAAUCGCGGAUCAGCACGCCGCGGUGAAUACGUUCCCGGGCCUU
rnacentral:rRNA from 1 species